CUCCCAAGUAGCUGGGACUACAGGCGCGCACCACCACGCCCAGAAAAAUUGGAACAGAAAAAUAUCUAACUUGCUGAGCAUUUGAUGGGAAAAAGUAAAAGAUAACUUCCAUUUGGUACACAACUUAUUGUACAUAGAGCUAUGAUUUGAGGAGGCAUCUAAUUUCUGAACAAAUUCACCAAGAAAUACCAUCACUUAAAGUCAUUAUCGCAAUCAUGCUGCAGUGAACACUCUAUACAAAAUGGCCAGGUCAUUAAACAUCAAAGAUGGAAAACAAGCCAGCAAUCUCUUCUGUUCUCUUCAAAGUGAAUGCAAAAUUGUUAAGGUAAUAAAAGCAAGAGGGGAAAAUCCCCAAAUGGCAUUCUUAGUGAUGAACAGAACUCACAGAUCAACAGAGGAGAGAGGGGCAGGAUGCUGGCGCUGUGUUCCUUUCUUUCUGCAUAAGGAAUGGUGGACAGAGCCUGUUAGGCGUGAUCCUCAAAAGGUUGGUCUCCGGAUGCUUAGGACUUCGAGGUCAAGGAAGUAAGUCCCCUGCCCCACUUCGGGACCCCUCAUCACUUAUAUAAAGAUAUGGUGAGGCAGAGAGGAGCAAUUUCUACAUGCAAGGAUUCCCCACCUUGUUCGAGACUAUCAGAUCUUAAAAUGACUAAAACUCAGGCUGCGUCCUGCCUGUAAGUAGCUCUGUCUCCUCACAGAGGUGAAGAGGGGUUUCCAGCAAUAACAAUACCAUGGAAUCCCCCUUGGAGAGAGACUAAAGAAGGACCUGUGCUGAUUUGUUUUAGAGGCUUUAUAACACACCAUGCAAGAUACUGGAUUUGACCUGCGGUGUGCAGAAAGCACGUGACUCAAGGGGAGCUCCACUCUGGUCUUGUCAGAAAAUAGAGUGAAAGGAGAGAAAAUGGAAGGGGAGAUUCCCUUUUAUUUGUCAUGUGCUUUUCCUUUUGUCUCUGACCAUGGGCUUAGAAAAAGCAGUGUAUUCAAUGUUUCUAUUUAUUCAUUUUCUCCUACCAGAGGCAUUUAAUGAAAAAGAACAAGAAAAACUUUUCCUAUGAAUAAUGAUCUCCUCUGCUUCUAUGGCCACUCUCCCCACUUCAGAACAGCAGCCAUGUGGAGAAUUAAGCAGAAGGUCCCUGCCCUCCUCAAGGUUAACAGAAUAGUAAGUUACUGGAAUAGCUUGGAGUGGGUGCCCUGGGUGUGCUGGGAUGGAAGGGCAACGAUCCAGGAGGCUCUCAUUCUCCCCUUGCUUAACUACUUUAUUCUGCUCUCUCCAACCUUCCCAGGGUAGGGGUGAGGGCUGCUGGCUCCUGCAGGCCCCAAAAGGGCUGAGGACCAAUCAGCCUCAUUUCAGCUUUUAUUUUACAGUUUACAAAGUGCUUUCACAUUUACUAUGCCACCGAAUAGGCUGUAAACAGACCUGUCGUUUUAUAAACGAGGAAGGAAAAGGCAUGUCCAGCUGCCCCUGACCUGGCAGGUCAUUUGUCUCUGCUAGGCUCUCUGCAUAACUCAUCACUUAAUGCACGUGGGUUCCAGUCUACUCUACCCCUGACAGUGAUAUAAGUCUGGGGAGCCUAUGAUUCUUAAAGCCCAGAAGCAAGACUUUCCAAGAAGGAUAAAGAUUUCUGAAAGUAGUGAUACCCUAGGACCCAGAAAACAUAAGCUUCCUCUCUACAGUUUGGAUUUGGGGUGUGUGUGUGAGAGAGGGAGACAAUGCCAGUAUGUAUGUGGCAUUUAGUAGCCCCUCACUGUUUCAGUAUUGUCCUUAUUUAAUAUCACAUACAUGUAUACUUGCGAUGCAGUAUGAACAGGGUGUAUUUAAGAAAUGGCUUCAGUUUCCAUUGGUAAACAGGAUUAAUUAGUAAUGAUCACAUUUGUUAGAAGACCUCAGUGAACACUGAUGUAGGCCUAGUACAUUUGACAAAGUGGUUUAUGAUCUAAGCAGCCAGCCUCUUACUAGUAUAGAACAUACAGGUUGAUUUCACUUAGGUGGUCUUAUUUCUGUAAGACUCCACCAUCUUUCCACCCCAAAGAGUUUCAGGUAAAACCAUGUUAUGUCAAACUGGGACUUUGUGGUCUCAAACAUUAAGUAGCCCAUGGCCUACAGUUUGGCAUUUAAAAAUAAUUACACACAACAGAUGACAAUGCCAUUUGUUUCAUGGUAUUUGUUAUAAUGACAAUUUUCUCACAAUGCCAUUGUUUGGCUUAAACAUUCUUAGAAGAAAUGUUCCAUAUAGCCACAAAAUUAUAAGUCACACUGUACCAUGAUUAUGUAUGUCUCAGGAAUUUAGAUAGGUGUUAUUUCAACUGGCAAUCUAUAAAUCACAAAAUGAUUUACCAUCAAACCACAUGGCUCACCAAAGUGACUAAGAGAUACAAAAAUACAAGAACAAAAAUCUUAACAUGUAGAACUUCGUAACAACAAGUUGGUCAUUUUAUGAUAUAUUGUGAAACAAAACACUUACUAUAUUCCAAAAUUAGAAGGUGGGCAAAUAUGGGGGUGGGGAGGAGGCCAUACAUUUAACAUGGUGCUCAGACCCUCGAGUGUCCACAAUAAGAGUUUCUUGAGGAGGAUAUUUUUAUUUCCCAAGCAUGCAAAUGGAAUUCAUAUUAUGAGAAAUUGGUAAGUCAGAAUACAAAUGCUCAACAACCCAAAUCUGCUCAAAGACACAAAUUUGUGUGUUAGUCACUAAUAAUAAUGAUGACGAUGACAACAUUGAAUGCCUGCUGAGAAUCAUGCAUUUCACACACACACACACACACACACACACACACACACAAUUUCUAGUUCUCAUAACACUGUAAAAU
rnacentral:lncRNA from 1 species